CUUGAUUGUAUUUUUCAGCAUGAAAUCCUUCCCAUCUUCUUCCCUUGAAAACGGCCAAGCUUGCAAAACUGGACUCGUUAAACACAGAGUAACUCCCAAAAGGCUUUGCAAAGGAGUCUAAUUCAUCCAGUAAAAUGGAACUAACCUCUGUGCAACUGGAACACUUCACCGAAACUAUGAUAGAGAACAUUUCAGCUUCCCAAGCAAGGACUGUUACUUCGGACUCCACUGGACUAACGAGCAUGGUGGGACAGAAUCUCUGCCGUGUUUACUGUGUGCCCAACACAGAGCAUAAGGCACCGUUGGAGAGAGAGAGUACAAGCAGGGGGAGCAGCAGGCAGAGGGAGAAGCAGGCUCUCCGCUGAG